rnacentral:misc_RNA from 1 species
ACAACCUCAACUCCUUUUCAAUCGUGUUAUGCGUGAGGGAAGGGGUUGGAUUUGAGCAUAUCCACCGGGCCAUUUGGUUUGAGGGAUGCUUGAAAUGGAGGUUCGGCCGACAGUGCCUGGGCUACAAGCAUUUCAUACUUAAUCCCGUUAAACGGAUUAUAUCCUUUGCUGCAGCCAACAUACAGGGUAACUGUCAGUGUUCCGACUGAUGCAGGAAAGUUGAGAUGGGUUCUUCGGAUCCUAGCCUCUUCUAA